AUCCAGCUGACGAGUCCCAAAUAGGACGAAACGCGCGUCCUGGAU
rfam:Schistosoma curassoni strain Dakar, Senegal genome assembly, scaffold: SCTD_contig0000169